CAACUGUGGGCAUAUUGAUCAGAUAAGCCACUGAUAACGGGUGUAGAUCCGUCUAAACAGCACACUAUACCUCUAAAACAGAUGUAGACCAACAAAAGUUUCCCAAGGAAUCCCAAGGAAACCCGCUGACUUUGGUGUAUUUGUGAAGGACCACCUCAUGCCAAUACGACUACAGUCCAGGAAUUACCGAGUUCCGCAUAAGCGUUAUCCAGUGACGCACAAGAUUGGGCGAGAGUCGGAACAACUGCUGUGUCGGUUACAGCGACCCGUCCACUAACGUUUAUCCAACCUUCCACUCAAGUGAACAGUAGACUUUUUAUUGUGGCAUCUUAUCAACAGUAACAAGAUGUCAUUUAUCUUGAUUCCUGCCCACUGUGUUCAAGGGACUUUAGUUAAGCCAGUUAUCGCUGAUGAAUAUUAACUAAAUCUCGCCAUAAGACAUCGCCAAGUUCUGUGCAUCCCCUCCCCAACCCCCAACGCCCGCACCUACACACGCACACACGCGUACCAGUUGUGGAACUGAAUGCUAGAAAACAUGGUCAUUCAUUGUAUAUUGUCAUGCAAACGUGCAUAUUCGUAGGUAAUUGGUCAGUGUUGAUGUGUUGGUACCAUGACGUGCUAGGUGCUGAUCACGUUCCGUGAACAAAUACACGCACGUUUACACAGUUCCGUUAUUGUUGUUUACUGGCUGAUCAGCAUCGUUAUUGAUUAUUGAUUUAUUUUACUUUCUGUACAUCAUGAAAGUAAACACACAUCACAGGAAAUUGGUCACAAAAGUCGAGAUGGUUCUACACAUAACAGAGUGGAGGCGUAUAUUGCCUGCUCCAGGCAAGUGAAGGUACAUGUCUACACUGACGUCUAGGUUGAUGCCCUACCAACAGGCCUUGAUAGUGACAAACACCUGACCAUAUCAUAUGUGAUCUGGGAAUAACAUGUAUGUACUGAA